rnacentral:rRNA from 1 species
AGAACGAACGCUGGCGGCAUGCCUAACACAUGCAAGUCGAACGAGACCUUCGGGUCUAGUGGCGCACGGGUGCGUAACGCGUGGGAAUCUGCCCUUGGGUCCGGAAUAACAGUUAGAAAUGACUGCUAAUACCGGAUGAUGACGUAAGUCCAAAGAUUUAUCGCCCAGGGAUGAGCCCGCGUAAGAUUAGGUAGUUGGCGGGGUAAAGGCCUACCAAGCCGACGAUCUUUAGCUGGUCUGAGAGGAUGAUCAGCCACACUGGGACUGAGACACGGCCCAGACUCCUACGGGAGGCAGCAGUGGGGAAUAUUGGACAAUGGGCGAAAGCCUGAUCCAGCAAUGCCGCGUGAGUGAUGAAGGCCCUAGGGUUGUAAAGCUCUUUUACCCGGGAUGAUAAUGACAGUACCGGGAGAAUAAGCCCCGGCUAACUCCGUGCCAGCAGCCGC